rnacentral:rRNA from 1 species
AGUGAACGCUGGCGGUAGGCCUAACACAUGCAAUCGAACGGCAGCACAGGAGAGCUUGCUCUCUGGGUGGCGAGUGGCGGACGGGUGAGGAAUACAUCGGAAUCUACUCUGUCGUGGGGGAUAACGUAGGGAAACUUACGCUAAUACCGCAUACGACCUACGGGUGAAAGCAGGGGACCUUCGGGCCUUGCGCGAUUGAAUGAGCCGAUGUCGGAUUAGCUAGUUGGCGGGGUAAAGGCCCACCAAGGCGACGAUCCGUAGCUGGUCUGAGAGGAUGAUCAGCCACACUGGAACGGAGACACGGUCCAGACUCCUACGGUAGGCAGCAGUGGGGAAUAUUGGACAAUGGGCGCAAGCCUGAUCCAGCCAUACCGCGUGGGUGAAGAAGGCCUUCGGGUUGUAAAGCCCUUUUGUUGGGAAAGAAAUCCAGCUGGCUAAUACCCGGUUGGGAUGACGGUACCCAAAGAAUAAGCACCGGCUAACUUCGUGCCAGCAGCCGCCGUAA